rnacentral:lncRNA from 1 species
AUGUUCUAAAAAUCUAAAAGAAUUUUAACAUUAGUCCAAUCUUGGGUAGUUAGCAUUUCAUCAUCUUCCUCACCACAAUCCCGAGAAUUAUACGUAAUGUUAAUUGGGUUUCUAUAUUCAUACGCUACUACUAAUCUUUCGUAUAUGUAAUUCCACCUAGUCGGGCAAGGUUUAAGAACCUUUCUUUCUCUAAGGCCAUAUUCGUCAUAUUUUUUAAAAUAUUCUCUAAGUCUACUUCUACGGUU